rnacentral:rRNA from 1 species
CCUACGGGUGGCAGCAGUGGGGAAUAUUGGACAAUGGGGGGAACCCUGAUCCAGCGACGCCGCGUGAGUGAAGAAGUAUUUCGGUAUGUAAAGCUCUAUCAGCAGGGAAGAAAGAAAUGACGGUACCUGACUAAGAAGCGCCGGCUAACUACGUGCCAGAGGCCGCGGUAAUACGUAGGGGGCAAGCGUUAUCCGGAUUUACGGGGUGUAAAGGGAGAGUGGGCGGAAGAGCAAGUCAGCGGUAAAAUUGAGAGGCUCAACCUCGUCGAGCCGUUGAAACUGGUUUUCUUGAGUGAGUGAGAAGUAUGCGGAAUGCGUGGUGUAGCGGUGAAAUGCAUAGAUAUCACGCAGAACUCCGAUUGCGAAGGCAGCAUACCGGCGCUCAACUGACGCUCAUGCACGAAAGCGUGGGUAUCGAACAGGAUUAGAUACCCUAGUAGUC